UACGUAGGGGGCAAGCGUUGUCCGGAAUCAUUGGGCGUAAAGAGCGUGUAGGCGGCCCGGUAAGUCCGCUGUGAAAGUCCAGGGCUCAACCCUGGGAUGCCGGUGGAUACGGGCAGACUAGAGGCAGGUAGGGGAGAAUGGAAUUCCCGGUGUAGCGGUGAAAUGCGCAGAUAUCGGGAGGAACACCGGUGGCGAAGGCGGGUCUCUGGGCCGAUACUGACGCUGAGGAGCGAAAGCGUGGGGAGCGAACAGG
rnacentral:rRNA from 1 species